GGUUGCGAUCAUACCAGCACUAAUGCACCUGAUCCCAUUAGAACUCCGCAGUUAAGUGUGCUUGGGCGAGAGUAGUACUAGGAUGGGUGAACCCACGGGAAGUCCUCGUGUUACAACCCA
rnacentral:rRNA from 1 species